GGGUUGUUAGCUCAGUUGGUAGAGCAGCGGACUCUUAAUCCGUCGGUCGAUAGUUCGAGCCUCUCACAACCUACCA
rnacentral:tRNA from 1 species